AGGAAGUGAGGCAUGUGGCUUUGCUCUGAUUGGAUGCAGCUGAAAGCUUGAUUGCUGACGAUGAAAGGGGUGUGUUCCUGUAUCUGAUUGGUCUGAAUGCUUUUAAUCCAGGCUGUUUGACAAGGUCCGUUUGGACAUCUUUGAUGCAUUCGAAUGGAAAACUGACCUCCUGUAUGACACACACCUCGAGAUCUACCUCAUCGUUUGUGUAAUCCGUAGGACGUACCUGUGUCUUGUGGCCUGACGGGAAGUCUGCUCUGACUGGCUGGGAGAAUCUCUAGUUUUACAAUGUCCGAGCUGUUAGCGAGCAGCUGCGUGGCCUCCAUCAGAGAGCAGUGCUCCGUGCUGGUCCCGUCUAUACACAGAAUGAUGUCUCCUACAUGCAGUGCUCCACAUCUAAGAGGGCAACACACAGAGGCAGAUAAUUGUUGUGGUGAGGCUGAUCCCCAGGCUGGAUGAGGGACCUUUCACUAUCUCCACCAGCAGAGGGCCUGAGGCUUGCUGCACCGCCUCUGAAACAGAUAAAACACAUAGAUAUGACAGAGGCCGACAUGAUCACUGGAGGUGUCGAGAGACAGCGAUAAAAUAUAUAUUUUCAUUCUCACAAUAAAGAGACAUUUUUUACCCUGA